AGAACGAACGCUGGCGGCAUGCCUAAUACAUGCAAGUCGAACGAACUCUUCGGAGUUAGUGGCGCACGGGUGCGUAACGCGUGGGAAUCUGCCCUUGGGUUCGGAAUAACAGUUGGAAACGACUGCUAAUACCGGAUGAUGACGAAAGUCCAAAGAUUUAUCGCCCAGGGAUGAGCCCGCGUAGGAUUAGCUAGUUGGUGAGGUAAAGGCUCACCAAGGCGACGAUCCUUAGCUGGUCUGAGAGGAUGAUCACGCCACACGUGGGACUGACGA
rnacentral:rRNA from 1 species